CACCAUUUAUAUGGUUAGUGAUUUUGAGCAAGGAUUCACUUCAGCUGCAUAAAAGCGGAGCCUGCGAUUUAUGGAUCCAUUUUUAAAUAUGACAACAGGAGCACGAAGCUCGAUGAGUUGAGUGACAACAAUAACACAGCAGCGGCAUUAAAUCAUCGCCAUAAAAAGAACAGCACGAUUUGUACGAUUAACUUA